ACACAUGCAAGUCGAGCGGUAACAGAUCUAGCUUGCUAGAUGCUGACGAGCGGCGGACGGGUGAGUAACGCAUAGGAAACUGCCCAGUAGUGGGGGAUAGCCCGGGGAAACCCGGAUUAAUACCGCGUACGCCCUUCGGGGGAAAGCAGGGGAUCUUCGGACCUUGCGCUAUUGGAUGUGCCUAUGUCGGAUUAGCUAGUUGGUGGGGUAAAGGCCUACCAAGGCGACGAUCCGUAGCUGGUCUGAGAGGAUGAUCAGCCACAUCGGGACUGAGACACGGCCCGAACUCCUACGGGAGGCAGCAGUGGGGAAUAUUGGACAAUGGGGGCAACCCUGAUCCAGCCAUGCCGCGUGUGUGAAGAAGGCUUUCGGGUUGUAAAGCACUUUCAGUGAGGAGGAAAACUCUGCGACUAAUACUCGUAGGGCUUGACGUUACUCACAGAAGAAGCACCGGCUAACUCCGUGCCAGCAGCCGCGGUAAUACGGAGGGUGCAAGCGUUAAUCGGAAUUACUGGGCGUAAAGCGCGCGUAGGUGGUUUGAUAAGCGAGAUGUGAAAGCCCCGGGCUUAACCUGGGAACGGCAUUUCGAACUGUCAGGCUAGAGUAUGGUAGA
rnacentral:rRNA from 1 species